rnacentral:tRNA from 1 species
UGGUUGAAUAGUAUAAUGCUUGCCUAACACGUGAGUGAUCCUAGGUUCAAUUCCUAG